rnacentral:lncRNA from 1 species
CCCGGAACCCAAGCGGCAGCAACGCCCCUCACUAUAAAUACGGAGUUGUCUCCUAGCCGAUGAUUCCUGAGCCUGACAGCCAGGACCCCAGGCGGCAGCGAGUGACAGGACGUCUGGACCCGCGUGCCGCCAGCAGCUCUGCCGGGCCGGGGCGGUGAUCGAUGGGGAGCGGCUGGAGCAGCCCCAGCGAGUGAGGGCGCACGGCCGGGACGCCGAGGCUGCGGGCUGGAGACCCGCACCCGCGCGGCCGGCCCUCGGCGGGACGUGACGCAGCGCCCGGGACGCGGGUUUGAUAUUUGACAAAUUGAUCUAAAAUGGCCAGGAUUUUAUCUGAUUAACUCACUGAUGCCAUCCCAGACGGUCUGCACCAGGGCUCCUUAUGAAAACAGAAUCUUCAGCCACCCCUGCUUGCCUGUCCUGUUCUCCGGUUCUGUCCGCGGGCAGCCAUACUUCAGUGAGCUCAGUGAUUGGAUGGUCCCUUAGUCUACAUGAG